CCAGACGACCGGAUAGCCGCCCUUUGGAUCUUAAGAGAAGGAGGGAGGAAAGUCCGGGCUCCAUGGAAACACGGUGCCGGGUAACCCCCGGCGGGGGCAACCCCAGGGAAAGUGCCGCAGAAAGUAAACCGCCAGCGUAUCCCGGUUCUAAUUGGGAUCUACGCAGGUAAGGGUGAAAGGGUGCGGUAAGAGCGCACCGCACCGAUGGUAACAUCGGUGGCAGGGUAAACCCCACCGGGAGCAAGACCAAAUAGGGACGGCAGCCUUUCUGGUGCAAACCAAUAAUGGCAAGCGAGUUUCUGCGCCGCUGUCCGGGUAGGUCGCACGAGGCGCCCGGUAACGGUCGUCCCAGAUGAAUGGCUAUCGCCCAGCUCUUUUCGGACUGCUGGGAACAGAACCCGGCUUAUAGGUCGUCUGGACUU
rnacentral:RNase_P_RNA from 1 species